CUAAGAGUCCAAAAUUUUUUUUUGUCCUAGGGCCCAUAAAAAUGUUGAGCCGGCACUGUUCAUGUGUUGAUCCUUCCCUUGAGUUCUGGAGGUUCUUUUCAUCUUCAUAGACGUUCUGGAGCUGCUUCUCUUGAUCCUUGGUGAUUCCUUCUUCCUUUGAUCCAGAAUGUGCUGUUUGGUGUGGAAAGAGCUCUUCUCGAUAAUCUUCUACACCAGUUUGACAAUGGCUAGUUUUUCCUUGAUGGUUCUCUUCUCCAGGGAUGAUUUGUUGAUAAAAUUGUUGAAAAGCUUGUAGAAUCACAGAAAAAUAGCAAGAUCAAAUUUAGACAAAGAUUUUGAGAGCAAAACAGAGAAAAACGUUUAUCUCUUCAUAUUCCCAUAUCUCUCUCUCAAUAACCAUUUUUCUCUCUUUUAUCCAGAGAGUAUCACAUGCACUCAAGCACCUACAGCUCUCUACAGCCACCCUAGGACUCUACAAAUACAUUGGAACUCAAAAACAAACAACGACAAAGUAAAACACACUCAAACAACUUGAUGGGCCUUCAUACAAACAAAAGCCCAACGAACAAAACACCCAGCCCACAAAUAAGCUUCUUCUCCUUCUUCGACACACCAACGAUGGUUUGUAAACACAUAACACAUCACUUAACACUCCCUCUUGCUGUUUUGUGUUUCAAACCAAGUUUUUCUCUGCGAAAUUCAAACAACUGACCUCUCAAGGGUUUUGUGAAUAUGUCAGCCACUUGAUCUUCACCUCUACAAUAUUGCAAUCUGAUGUCUCCACAUCUUUCAGCCUCUCGAACAAUGUGGUACUUGAUUUUUAUAUGUUUUGUUCUUCUAUGUUGAACUGGAUUCUUCCCGAUAGCAAUUGCAGACUGGCUGUCACUGUAGAUUGGAGUUCCUUCUUGAGAGCUGAAUUUCAAAUCUUCUAAGAGGCGUUUCAACCACAUCACUUGAUUGGUAGUAGCGCACAAUGCCAUAUAUUCUGCCUCUGCAGUCGAUUGAGCAAUCGUGUCUUGCUUACAGGAUUGCCAAGAGAACACAGCUGAUCCAAUGUUGAAACAGUACCCAGUUGUGGAUUUUAAGUCCUCGACGCAUCCUCCGUAAUUGCUGUCAGAGUAUCCAAUUAACCUUGGUUCCUCAACGGUAGAGUAAUACAUUCCCAUAUCAACAGUCCCUCUGAUGUAUCUAAGAACUCUCUUUGCUUCAUUAAGGUGCUUGACUCUAGGUUCCUUAAGAUACCUUGAAAGAUAAGAUGCAGCAAAUGUCAGAUCGGGACGAGUUGCAGUCAAGUACAGUAGGCCUCCAACAAGACUUCGAUAAACUAUGCAGUCUGUAAGUUCUCCUUUUUCUUCUUCGUGUUUGCUUUGAGGUAUGAGAGGAGUGUUCACAGCUCUGCAGUUUUCCAUGUUGAACUUCUUUAACAAUUUCUUUGCAUAACACUCUUGUGACAGAAAGAAUCCUUCCGAUUCUUGGAUAAUCUCCAUACCCAAGAAAUAGUUCAACAGUCCAAGGUCAGACAUUUCAAACUCAUUCUUCAUCACCAUCUUGAAUUCUUCAAUCAUAUUCAAGUCGUCACCUGUCACAAUAAGAUCAUCAACAUAUAUGCAUACCACUAGUAAUUUUCCUUCGAUUUCUUUUGUGAAUAGAGCAUGAUCAUUAUCACUCCUUUUGAAGUUUUCCCGGUUGAAGAAUUCUUCAAUGCGGCUAUACCACGCCCUCGGAGCCUGUUUUAGACCAUAAAGAGCCUUAUGCAAACGGAACACACAAUCUUCCUUUCCUUCUUCUUCAAAACCAGGUGGUUGUUCUGCAUAUAUUUCUUCUUCUAAUGUUCCAUUCAAGAAAGCAGAUUUAACGUCUAGUUGAAACAGUUUCCAUUUCCUUUGAGCCGCAACAGCAAGAAUUAACCUGAUAGUUUCAUGUCUUGACACAUGAGCAAAGGUUUCAUGAUAGUCAACCCCAUAUUGCUUUGUGUCUCACCACAUUUCCUUGAGCAUCAGUUUUUAAUCUGAAUAUCCACUUGACUCCUACCACAUUCUUGUCAGAAGGUCUUUCGAGAAGCUCCCAUGUUUGAUUUUUCUCAAUGGUUUGAAUCUCAUCUACCAUUGCAAGUCUCCAUUCCUUGUGUUUUGCGGCUUCCUCAAAUACAGCAGGUUCCUCUUCGAUGCCAACAUAGCAGCUUUCACAAGAUCCAGAAUAUUCAACAUUAGCAUAAGGGGCAUUCAAGAGGAUAUCUUCAAUAGUUCUGGUUUUCUUGUUUUGCAGGUUUGAGUCACUUUCUGGGCUGUCGAGGUUUAAGCUCAAUGGACUCGGAAGAGUACGUCUUUUCCCUAUAUCUUCAUUGUCCUUUAAUGAUGUCUCUCCAGUUGUUGGGUUUUCUUCUUCAUCCUUUGACUCGCUUGAUAGGUCAUAGGUUUUUGUAACUUCCUUCUUAUCCCAAUUCCACUUGCUUCCCUCAUCAAAUAUGACGUCUCUUGAGAUGUCAAUCUUGUUUUCUUCCAGCAGGUACAGUCUAUAUCCUUUUGUUUGAGAGCUGUAUCCUACAAAUAUACCUCUCUUUGACUUGUCAUCCCAUUUCUUCCUUUUUUCGUCUGGAAUGUGGACAUAACAUAUACUCCCAAACACUCUCAUGUGUUCCAACGAUGGUUUAGUUCCAUCCCAUGCUUCAAUAGGGGUAAUACUUUCUAAGGCUCUUGUUGGGGUUCGAUUCUGGACGUACGUAGCAACGUGAACUGCAUCAGCCCAAAAUUUUAGAGGUAAUCCCUGGCUUUGAUCAUAGCUCUUGCCAUUUCAACUAAGCUUCUGUUUCUUCUUUCUGAAACUCCAUUUUGUUGUGGAGAAUAUUCAGCAGUGAGUUGUCUUUCUAUUCCAUUUUCUUCAAGAAAUUCUGUGAACUCUUUUGAAAGAUACUCAGAUCCUCUGUCGGUUCGAAGCUUCUUGAUUUUGCAGUUUGAGUUAUUUUCAACAAGACUCUUAAACUUUCUAAAUGUUUGAAAGACCUCAGACUUGGCUCUCAGAAAAUAAAUCCAAACCAUUCUUGUUGCAUCAUCAAUAAAUGUGAGAAUGUACCUGUUUCCAUUUAUUGACAAGUUCUGCAUUGGUCCACAUAAGUCGCUGUGAAUUAGCUCCAGUUUCACUCUUGCUCUGGUCUUAGAUUCCUUCGGAAAGGGAUCACGAGAAUGCUUGCUUAGAAUGCAUGAUUCACAUUUUUCUGCUUCUACUUUGAACUUUGGUAAGCCGACCACCAUGUCUUUUGAUUGCAUAAUCUUCAGAUUUGAAUAUCCAGUGUGCCCGAGCCUCUUAUGCCAAAUUGUUGCAUCUUCAUUCUUAGCCAUCAUUGCAGUUUCUUCACUUGCUUGCCACUUUAUGUGAAAACUUUUGUUUCUCAUCGGAACUUCUCCGAUUUUUCUUCUUGUCCUAUCAUGAAUGAUGCAUUUAUUUUCUUUGAAGGUGACUUGGUAACCAUUGGAGAUCAUCUGCGGCACACUUAGGAGAUUUUUUCCCAGCUUAGGUACAAGGAAGACAUCUCGUAUGACUCUUUUCCCUUUCAUUGUCAUCACUUCAAUAUCUCCCUUUCCUUUAGUUAUGAGUGCAACACCAUUCCCAACUUUAAUAGGGACAUUAACACUUGUGUUUAUUCUGAUGAAGAUCUUCUCGUCUGGAGUCAUGUGAUUAGUGCACCCGCUGUCAAUGAGCCAUGAGUUUUCUUCAUUCAAAUCUUGUUUUUCUUGUCUUGCAACGAACGUAUGAUUCUCUUCUCUUUCAAGUACUGUCUCAGCAGCAAUCUUCGACUCCCACUCUGGUGAGCCCUCUCUUCUCUCCUUGAUAGCUCCUCUGAGCACCAACACAGGUUUUCCAGUUUCUUCACACAUCUUCACAACGUUAGGUUCCAUGAAUCAGCUAGUGCUCUGAUACCAUGUUGAAAAGCUUGUAGAAUCACAGAAAAAUAGCAAGAUCAAAUUUAGACAAAGAUUUUGAGAGCAAAACAGAGAAAAACGUUUAUCUCUUCAUAUUCCCAUAUCUCUCUCUCAAUAACCAUUUUUCUCUCUUUUAUCCAGAGAGUAUCACAUGCACUCAAGCACCUACAGCUCUCUACAGCCACCCUAGGACUCUACAAAUACAUUGGAACUCAAAAACAAACAACGACAAAGUAAAACACACUCAAACAACUUGAUGGGCCUUCAUACAAACAAAAGCCCAACGAACAAAACACCCAGCCCACAAAUAAGCUUCUUCUCCUUCUUCGACACACCAACGAUGGUUUGUAACACAUAACACAUCACUUAACAAAAAUUCAAGUCUCGAAUCCUGAAGUUGAUCAGAAUACUCAUUAGUCGAUUUACCUUGCUUUCAGGUACUGUUGGGCGUGUAGAUCCCUUGUGUGAACUGAUUGAACUUGUGUUGAAGGUUUCUAGCUCUUUGACGUGUUAUAGGGCCUUCAGGUAUGUAUGGAACCUCAAUCUCCAGCCUUUGGUUUACUUCCAUGUCCUCCAAAUCUUGGUCUGAUUCGAUGUCCGCAUCACUUGUAGAUGUGAAUAUUAGGAAUGGUACAAUCUUUUGGUUUGUUACUUUUGUUUAUGGCAAUUCUGUGACCAAUUUGAAAGAUUUGGUUUGGGAAAUAAUGAAUACAAUUGGUUAUUUCAAUGAGAUGUUAUCUAAUGAGGAAAAGCUAGGUGAUCUUCAAAGACAAACUUCCUAUAACAUUUGCAGACUCUCUUGAAGAAUUGUGAUAUGUAUGAAUUAGAAAGUUUUGAUAAUGG
rnacentral:lncRNA from 1 species